rnacentral:rRNA from 1 species
CGGUCUUGAAUAGGCCAGACUGGAGUUAGUUUCGACUARCUCCGAUUGAAGGCAAAGAGAAAUCAAAUCAUGUGAUCGUUGGGGCAACAACAGCUACAACGCGCAACAUGUGCCUGUUCGUAUAGCAAUGUGCCUUAAAAACACUUGCUGGGCGGAGCAAAGAGAUGCUUGAUUGGUACCCGAAAGAUGGUGAACUAUGCCUGGGCAAAUUGAAGCCAGAGGAAACUCUGGUGGAGGAUUGUAGCGAUUCUGACGUGCAAAUCGAUCGUCAGACCUGGGUAUAGGGGCGAAAGACUAAUCGAACCAUCUAGUAGCUGGUUC